rnacentral:rRNA from 1 species
GACGAACGCUGGCGGCGUGCUUAACACAUGCAAGUCGAACGGAAAGGCCCCUUUGGGGGUACUCGAGUGGCGAACGGGUGAGUAACACGUGAGUAACCUGCCCUUCACUUCGGGAUAACUUCAGGAAACUGGGGCUAAUACCGAAUAGGAAUCCUUGCUGCAUGGUGGGGGUUGGAAAGCUUCGGCGGUUUUGGGUGGACUCGCGGGUUAUCAGCUUGUUGGUGGGGUAGUGGCUUACCAAGGCUUUGACGGGUAGCCGGCCUGAGAGGGCGACAGGCCACAUUGAGACUGAGGGACGGCCCAGAUGCCUACGGGAGGAAGCAGGGGGGAAGAUUGCACAAGGGGCGGAGGGCGGAGGCAGCAAGGCCGCGGGUGGGAAGACGGUCUUGGGGUUGUAAACCGGGUUCAGCAGGAGCGAAGCGUGUGGUGACGGUACCUGAAGAAGAAGCACCGGCUAACUACGUG